rnacentral:rRNA from 1 species
UACGUAGGGAGCAAGCGUUGUCCGGAUUUACUGGGUGUAAAGGGUGCGCAGGCGGGUUAGUAAGUCAGGGGUGAAAUCUCACGGCUCAACCGUGAAAUUGCCUUUGAUACUGCUAACCUUGAGUUCGGGAGAGGUCGAUGGAAUUCCAGGUGUAGCGGUGAAAUGCGUAGAUAUCUGGAAGAACACCAGUAGCGAAGGCGGUCGACUGGCCCGGUACUGACGCUGAGGUGCGAAAGCGUGGGGAGCAAACAGG